UCCCUGGUGGUCCAGUGGCUAAGACUCCACAUUCCCAAUGCAGGGGUCUUGGGUUCGAUCCCUGGUCAGGGAG
rnacentral:tRNA from 1 species